UACGGAGGGUGCAAACGUUGCUCGGAAUUAUUGGGUCGUAAGCGCACGUAGGCGGUUCGAUAAGUCGGAAUGUGAAAGCCCUCGGCUCAACCAAGGAAGUGCAUUCGAAACUGUCGGACUUGAGUACGGGAGGGGUUGCGGAAUUCCCGGUGUAGAGGUGAAAUUCGUAGAUAUCGGGAGGAAUACCGGUGGCGAAGGCGGCAUCCUGGACCGACAUUGACGCUGAGGAGCGAAAGCUAGGGGAGCAAACGGG
rnacentral:rRNA from 1 species